rnacentral:snRNA from 1 species
UAAAAGGGCUCCUGCUAUGUUUAGCACAGGGAGGUUGGUGAUUCACCACUUUCCCUGCGGAAUCUAGAUCAAGAGAUUUCGGAAGCAGAAUUUUUACUCUCUGGGUUGCGAAUGACCGUGAGUCUUUGCGCCCCA